rnacentral:rRNA from 1 species
UAGGUAUUCUCGGCAAUGGCAGUAAGUAUUCUGAGCAACGGCGGAUGACUGAUGAAGCAUUCCGGUCNUAAAAUUNAGUUGCUAGGGAUGAACAAAUUNCUAGUUCAAUAAANUNAGCCCCUUGACGGUUCUUAGCCAGAAAGACANGGCUAACUUUCGUGCCNGCAGCCGCGGUAAUNAGUAGAUGCCAAGNGUUNUCCGGAAUNUAUUGGGCGUAAAGCUCGCGCAGGUGGUUUCUUAAGUCNGAGGUGAAAGCCCACGGNUCAAUCGUGGAGGGUCAUUGGAAACUGCGAGACUUGAGUGCGAGAAGAGGAAGAGUGGAAUUUCCAUGUGUAGCGGUGAAAUGCGUAGAGAUAUGGAGGAACACCAGUGGCGAAGGCGACUUUCUGGUCUGUAACUGACACUGAGGCGCGAAAGCGUGGGGAGCAAACAGGAUUAGAUACCCCGGUAGUCCACGCCGUAAACGAUGAGUGCUAAGUGUUAGAGGGUUUCCGCCCUUUAGUGCUGAAGUUAACGCAUUAAGCACUCCGCCUGGGGAGUACGGCCGCAAGGCUGAAACUCAAAGGAAUUGACGGGGGCCCGCACAAGCGGUGGAGCAUGUGGUUUAAUUCGAAGCAACGCGAAGAACCUUACCAGGUCUUGACAUCCUGUGAAAACCCUAGAGAUAGGGCUUCUCCUUCGGGAGCAGAGUGACAGGUGGUGCAUGGUCGUCGUCAGCUCGUGUCGUGAGAUGUUGGGUUAAGUCCCGCAACGAGCGCAACCCUUGAUCUUAGUUGCCAUCAUUAAGUUGGGCACUCUAAGGUGACUGCCGGUGACAAACCGGAGGAAGGUGGGGAUGACGUCAAAUCAUCAUGCCCCUUAUGACCUGGGCUACACACGUGCUACAAUGGACGGUACAAAGAGCUGCAAGACCGCGAGGUGGAGCUAAUCUCAUAAAACCGUUCUCAGUUCGGAUUGUAGGCUGCAACUCGCCUACAUGA